rnacentral:lncRNA from 13 species
CAUCCCUGGUCAUCCCUAAUGCGUCUGAUCUGGCAGACUCACUAAACACAAAUGCUUUGUUUGUAAAACAUUUUUUUUUAUCUUACCUUUAUUUAACUAGGCAAGUCAGUUAAGAACAAGUUCUUAUUUUCAAUGAUGGCCUAGGAACAGUGGGGUUAACUGCCUGUUCAGGGGCAGAACGACCAAUUUUUCCCUUGUCAGCUCAGGGAUUCGCUCAGGGAAAAUUGCGCUGCCUGGUUUGUUUCAUAUAAGGAAUUUUAAAUUACUCAUACUUUUUAUGUUUGAAACUUAAGUAUAUUUUAGUAAUUACAUGUACUUUUGAUACUAGUAUAUUUAAAACCAAAUACUUUUAGACUUUUACUCAAGUAGUAUUUUACUGGGUGACUUUCACUUUUACUUGAGUCAUUUUCUAUUAAGGUAUCUUAGAGUGUUGGGCCAGUAACCGAAAGAUUGCUGGAUGGAAUCCUCGAGCUGACAAGGUAAAAAUCUGUCUUCUUCCCCUGGGCAACUGUUCCCCGGGCUCCGAAGACGUGGAUAUCAAUUAUGACAGCCCCCCGCACCUCUCUGAUUCAGAGGGGUUGGGUUUCAGUUGAAUGCAUUCAGUUGUACAAAUGACUAGGUAUCCCCCUUUCCCCUUCCUUUACUUUUACUCAAGCAUAACAAUUGGUUAUUUUUUUCCACCACUGACAGUUUCUGAGAGGAAGGAUAACAUCUGGGUUGGGCUGUGCUAACAUUAUAGACAUGUUGAAUUCACUCCCUUUUCUCUUCCAUCUUUUUACAGGUCAUAUCCAGAUUGUCCACCAAACCAUUGGACAAACAGACAGAGGGGAGAGGCAACGGACGAGUGAUCCAGUCCUAUCCAUCCAUCAUUGAGAACCAGGAGGAAGAGGAGGAGGAAGAUGAGUUGGCAUCUGUAUCUCCGGAAUUGGUGCGCAACAGCGUCCUGUACACUAGAGAGGUGUCUUCUGGGAAGUCUCCAUCGGGUAGAGCCGGGAUGGAGAGAGAGUUGCAUAGCGGCAGAGAAGUAACACACCAGAGCACUAGGAAACUGAGGGAGAAGAUCCAGAUCCGCCAGACAGCUGUCACCACGCUAGACCCCUCCAACCUCAGCCCUAGGGUUGUGGACGGUACAGAGGAUACUGAAGGUACAGAGACGUCUCCACUGUUCUCCUUCUCUCCUAGCCGAGCCUGUCCAGUCAGCGGUCCAGGGAAUGCACCUGCCACAUUUACAGAUAUUCUCCAGAUCAGCACAGCAGAGUCAGCAGCUAAAGCUGAGGAGACCUGGGGACAACUACGGCACCUAGACCAGGAGGUGAGUUCUCUGGGGAAGGAGGUGGCAGAGCUGGGCCAAGUAAUGAGGAGUAUGGUUCACCUGAUGGAGUCCCUCAUCUCCGGACCCAAACCCCUCUAUCCUGCACACUUUGUACCUGGACACCCCACGUACCUGCCCCACCCUGCGCCAACAUCCCACGCCACCCCCCCACAGUCCUAUCCUUCCCCCUCUCAGACUGGACCUCUCUGGGAAGACACCCCCCUCACCACCCCCUCUCCUUGCACCUCUCCACUUGUUGGCCAUGUCCAGCGGCAUCCUGGGAUGUUCCACGUGGAUCCCGCCCUCACCGCCUUUCCACACAGACCACAGAACCUCCACCUGGUCUACCCUAUGUGCCCAGGCCCGGCCUCCUCCCCCCUUUCACGCCCCUACCCCCCCUCCUUCUCCCUCACGGACGCCUCAACAGAGCUACUGCUCCCCUCGCCCCUCACCUCUCCCGGGAAGCCCCACUGUGGAGGGGGAGGGGGCGCUGGGUCCUUCAGGUUGCGGGCACGGAGUCUGGAGACCCCACAGCCACCGCGUGAUAGGAGAGGAGGGGCCCCUCAGAGCUCCGGGAGCCUGCCCCGCCCUGGAGGGAGCUACCAGCACAUGGAUUUGUAGCGGACUGAACUGGACUAAAGUGGACUCUCACUUAGAUACUGGACUAAAGAGAUACUGGACUAAAGGAGUGGAUGGGACUAACAACCAGGUCCCUAUAUCAUCAGACUACACUCUUACAGGGACACACAGAUCUCUGAUAAUACUGAUAACAUUUCAUUUUCUAUCUCCGUUUCCAAGGCACAUUUUUAUUUUCAAAUUGCAUGACAAAAGUAGAGGGGCAGUAGGUAGUCUAUAGGUAGCUACAUUGUAUAGACGUUCCAGUAGUGUUCUGGAGGGGUAUAGAAGCAAGAAUGUAGCUGUGACGUUGUGUUAUUCUCUGGAGAAGACCCUGGGGGUCUGAAGGAGAGGAGAAGAGCAGUACUGCACAAUGACAGAGGAGGAGGAGGAGGGGACUGAGUCGCAUCAGGGAUGGAUGGAAUAGUAGAGAUGCCUGAGUGUAUAAGGGGG